AGUGAACGCUGGCGGUAGGCCUAACACAUGCAAGUCGAACGGCAGCACAGUAAGAGCUUGCUCUUACGGGUGGCGAGUGGCGGACGGGUGAGGAAUACAUCGGAAUCUACUUUUUCGUGGGGGAUAACGUAGGGAAACUUACGCUAAUACCGCAUACGACCUACGGGUGAAAGCAGGGGAUCUUCGGACCUUGCGCGAUCGAAUGAGCCGAUGUCGGAUUAGCUAGUUGGCGGGGUAAAGGCCCACCAAGGCGACGAUCCGUAGCUGGUCUGAGAGGAUGAUCAGCCACACUGGAACUUGGACACGGUCCAGACUCCUACGGGAGGCAGCAGUGGGGAAUAUUGGACAAUGGGCGCAAGCCUUAUCCAGCCAUACCGCGUGUGUGAAGAAGGCCUUCGGGUUGUAAAGCCCUUUUGUUGGGAAAGAAAAGCAGCAGGUUAAUACCCCGCUGUUCUGACGGUACCCAAAGAAUAAGCACCGGCUAACUUCGUG
rnacentral:rRNA from 1 species